CGGCAGCACGGGGGCAACCCUGGUGGCGAGUGGCGAACGGGUGAGUAAUACAUCGGAACGUGUCCUGUAGUGGGGGAUAGCCCGGCGAAAGCCGGAUUAAUACCGCAUACGCUCUACGGAGGAAAGGGGGGGAUCUUAGGACCUCUCGCUACAGGGGCGGCCGAUGGCAGAUUAGCUAGUUGGUGGGGUAAAGGCCUACCAAGGCGACGAUCUGUAGCUGGUCUGAGAGGACGACCAGCCACACUGGGACUGAGACACGGCCCAGACUCCUACGGGAGGCAGCAGUGGGGAAUUUUGGACAAUGGGCGCAAGCCUGAUCCAGCAAUGCCGCGUGUGUGAAGAAGGCCUUCGGGUUGUAAAGCACUUUUGUCCGGAAAGAAAACUUCUGCCCUAAUACGGCGGGAGGAUGACGGUACCGGAAGAAUAAGCACCGGCUAACUACGUGCCAGCAGCCGCGGUAAUACGUAGGGUGCAAGCGUUAAUCGGAAUUACUGGGCGUAAAGCGUGCGCAGGCGGUUCGCUAAGACAGAUGUGAAAUCCCCGGGCUUAACCUGGGAACUGCAUUUGUGACUGGCGGGCUAGAGUAUGGCAGAGGGGGGUAGAAUUCCACGUGUAGCAGUGAAAUGCGUAGAGAUGUGGAGGAAUACCGAUGGCGAAGGCAGCCCCCUGGGCCAAUACUGACGCUCAUGCACGA
rnacentral:rRNA from 1 species